UCAUCCCUCCAUCGUCGGCUGCAUCCCUCACCCACGUCGCUGUUGCAGGAUCUUCAUCCGUCAUCCUGAGCAAUUGGGGCGGCGAUGCGGGCGAGCUUCACGAUAGUGGGGAGGACCAGGCCGCGGUGAAGGCAGGUCAUGCGCUCCUCACGCUCCACGAACGGAACCUGCGCACGGAGGCGGUAGCGCGGGGUGGCAGCCGGCAAUGAGGCGGCCGCGCUACGUGACGAGCUACGGGUCCCCCUUUGUGAUGUUUUGGCAUCGCUCCUUCAUCGCACAUCCUCAGGUUCCUCUUGCCCUUCCCUUCCUCUGUCCUCCUCUCCCAUCUCUAUGCUUUCACGUGCAUCCAGUUUUGAUUCCUCGUGUGAUAUAUACCAAACAUAGGUACGUCAAUUCACUUCCUUCCCUUCCCUUCGUCCCUCGGUCCCACGCUCGUGGCGCUGAAGUGGUGGCAACAGGCGAUGGCGGUGGUGUCGCUGAUGGCGGCGAGGACAGCAUGUGGCAGCUCCCGAAGCAUGAACACGACCGCACCUCGGGCCUGCCGUCUGCCAAGAUAUGGCUCUGGCCGAUUGACAAUGGAGGUUUGGGAUCCUUCCUCUCAGCACCCACUCCUGGAAGAAUCAGCGGUGCGCCACGCCGAUUGAACCCCGUCGAGAUCACUCGCCAAGAUUGCUAUUCUGAAGUUUAUUGUAAAGAAAGUGAAGAGUGAGACAGGAUCCGUUUAUUUUCAACCGGUUUAUUUUCAACGGUUUAUUUUCGUUUGGUUAUAUUUCGUCUGGUUUAUUUUCGUCCGGUUUAUUUUCGUCUCAUAUCCCACCACCAUAUCUCCUCACAUUGAUUUUUUUACCCUCACAAUAAAAACUUUCCUAACUUUUCCAAAGUUUCCUAACUAGACACGUUAUAAACGGGCAUGUACCGAUAGCACGUUAUCAAUUAAUAAAAUUUUGUUUUAUGACAAUCAAUUCCAAAUCCUAAUUUUCCUAAUGCAUCGAUCUUUGCCUUUUUUAAGUAGUUAUUUUGAUAGGGAGGGUUUAGCCACGAAAAUCAUCCCUCCAUCGUCGGCUGCAUCCCUCACCCACGUCGCUGUUGCAGGAUCUUCAUCCGUCAUCCUGAGCAAUUGGGGCGGCGAUGCGGGCGAGCUUCACGAUAGUGGGGAGGACCAGGCCGCGGUGAAGGCAGGUCAUGCGCUCCUCACGCUCCACGAACGGAACCUGCGCACGGAGGCGGUAGCGCGGGGUGGCAGCCGGCAAUGAGGCGGCCGCGCUACGUGACGAGCUACGGGUCCCCCUUUGUGAUGUUUUGGCAUCGCUCCUUCAUCGCACAUCCUCAGGUACGUCAAUUCACUUCCUUCCCUUCCCUUCGUCCCUCGGUCCCACGCUCGUGGCGCUGAAGUGGUGGCAACAGGCGAUGGCGGUGGUGUCGCUGAUGGCGGCGAGGACAGCAUGUGGCAGCUCCCGAAGCAUGAACACGACCGCACCUCGGGCCUGCCGUCUGCCAAGAUAUGGCUCUGGCCGAUUGACAAUGGAGGUUUGGGAUCCUUCCUCUCAGCACCCACUCCUGGAAGAAUCAGCGGUGCGCCACGCCGAUUGAACCCCGUCGAGAUCACUCGCCAAGAUUGCUAUUCUGAAGUUUAUUGUAAAGAAAGUGAAGAGUGAGACAGGAUCCGUUUAUUUUCA